ensembl:miRNA
GUAAGAAGGGGGAUGAGGGGUCAUGUCUCUUCUCAGGGAAAGCUGGAGCCCUUCAGCAGGGUCAGGGCCCCUCACCUUCCCCUCCUUUCCCAG